UACCAGCACCCCGAGUGGUCGGGACGUUUUAUUGGGCCUAAAGCAUCCGUAGCCGGCCUUACAAGUCCCCCGUUAAAUCCACCUGCUCAACAGAUGGGCUGCGGAGGAUACUAUAGAGCUAGGAGGCGGGAGAGGCAAGCGGUACUUAGUGGGUAGGGGUAAAAAUCCGUUGAUCCAUUGAAGACCACCAGUGGCGAAGGCGGCUUGCCAGAACGCACUCGACGGUGAGGGAUGAAAGCUGGGGGAGCAAACCGG
rnacentral:rRNA from 1 species